GAUGAACGCUGGCGGCGUGCCUAAUACAUGCAAGUAGAACGCUGAAGGAAGGAGCUUGCUCUUUCCGGAUGAGUUGCGAACGGGUGAGUAACGCGUAGGUAACCUGCCUGGUAGCGGGGGAUAACUAUUGGAAACGAUAGCUAAUACCGCAUAACAGUAGAUGUUGCAUGAUAUCUACUUAAAAGGUGCAAUUGCACCACUACCAGAUGGACCUGCGUUGUAUUAGCUAGUUGGUGAGGUAACGGCUCACCAAGGCGACGAUACAUAGCCGACCUGAGAGGGUGAUCGGCCACACUGGGACUGGGACACGGCCCAGACUCCUACGGGAGGCAGCAGUAGGGAAUCUUCGGCAAUGGACGGAAGUCUGACCGAGCAACGCCGCGUGAGUGAAGAAGGUUUUCGGAUCGUAAAGCUCUGUUGUAAGAGAAGAACGGGUGUGAGAGUGGAAAGUUCACACUGUGACGGUAUCUUACCAGAAAGGGACGGCUAACUACGUG
rnacentral:rRNA from 1 species